UGGGGAAUUUUGCACAAUGGGGGAAACCCUGAUGCAGCGACGCCGCGUGAUUUAGAAGGCCUUCGGGUUGUAAAAAUCUUUUCUAUGGGAAUAAAAUGACAGUACCAUAGGAAUAAGGACCGGCUAAUUACGUGCCAGCAGCCGCGGUAAUACGUAAGUUCCGAGCGUUGUCCGGAAUCAUUGGGCGUAAAGGGUACGUAGGCGGGUAAGCAAGUUAGAAGUGAAAUCCUAUAGCUCAACUAUAGUAAGCUUUUAAAACUGCUCAUCUGGAGGGAUGGAAGGGAAAGUGGAAGUACUAGUGUAGCGGGGAAAUGCGCAGAUAUUAAGAGGAAGACAGGUGGCGAAGGCGACUUGCUGGCCAUAACCUGACGCUGAGGUACGAAAGCGUGGGUAGCAAACAGG
rnacentral:rRNA from 1 species